rnacentral:rRNA from 1 species
UACGUAGGGUGCAAGCGUUGUCCGGAAUUAUUGGGCGUAAAGAGCUCGUAGGCGGUCUGUCGCGUCGGCUGUGAAAUCCCGAGGCUCAACCUCGGGUCUGCAGUCGAUACGGGCAAACUGGAGUACUGCAGGGGAGACUGGAAUUCCUGGUGUAGCGGUGAAAUGCGCAGAUAUCAGGAGGAACACCGAUGGCGAAGGCAGGUCUCUGGGCCGAUACUGACGCUGAGGAGCGAAAAGCGUGGGGGGAGCGAAACAGG